rnacentral:rRNA from 1 species
AGUGAACGCUGGCGGCAGGCCUAAUACAUGCAAGUCGAACGGCAGCACAGUGGAGCUUGCUCCAUGGGUGGCGAGUGGCGGGACGGGUGAGGAAUACAUGGGAAUCUGCCCAGUCGUGGGGGAUAACGUAUGGAAACGUACGCUAAUACCGCAUGCGCCCUUCGGGGGAAAGUCGGGGACCGCAAGGCCUGACGCGAUUGGAUGAGCCCAUGUUCGAUUAGCUAGUUGGCGGGGUAACGGCCCACCAAGGCGACGAUCGAUAGCUGGUCUGAGAGGAUGAUCAGCCACACUGGAACUGAGACACGGUCCAGACUCCUACGGGAGGCAGCAGUAGGGAAUAUUGGACAAUGGGCGCAAGCCUGAUCCAGCCAUGCCGCGUGAGUGAAGAAGGCCCUCGGGUUGUAAAGCUCUUUGUUGGGAAGAAAGGCAGUUGGUUAAUACCCGAUUGUUCUGACGGUACCCAAAGAAUAAGCACCGGCUAACUUCGUGCCAGCAG